UACAAGUUUCCAACAGCAACGGAAAGAGCGAAGAAGAAAUAUUCCACCCACAAUGCAUUUCGCUCUUCCAGCAUCAUUCCUCUGCUAAGAUGGCGGACCGGCGGCGAAGAAGGAGACAAGCGUCCCAGGACAGCGAGGACGACGAUGAGUCCGGUUCGGCUUCUGACAGCCAGGAGUCUGCGUCCCAGACUACCAAGAACCGUGGGAGAGAGGCCGAACCGCCGGAGACCGUUUUGAACCGUAUCGAAGCGAAGAACGAAGUGGCGUCCGAGUGUGAGAGUGAAGACGGAGUAGGAGAAGCUGUCCUCUCAGACUACGACAGCGCAGACCCAGAAGAAGUGGCCUCCCACUCAGAGGGGGCGGAGGAGGAGGAGGAUGCAGAUCGGUACAGUGAUGAAGACUGUCCGGCAGCAGCCAGCGAGUCCAAAGUUCCUGCUGCCACCAAAGCAGCAGUAGGUGAGGAAGAGCUGAGUAAAGAAGAGAACACGGCGGAUGAAAAGGGAAACUCUGCAGGAGAGCGACAAAGCGGUGAUGGUCAGGAGUCCACCGUUGACCCUGAGACCAAAGCGGGAGGAAAAUCAGGACAGCAGCUUGAUGAUGAUGAAGACCGAAAAAACCCAGCAUACAUCCCUCGAAAGGGUCUGUUCUUUGAGCAUGACGUCAGAGGCCACGCCCAGGAGGAGGAGAGGCCCAAAGGCAGAAACAGGAAGCUGUGGAAGGACGAAGGGCGCUGGGAGCAUGAUAAGUUCAGGGAGGAGGAGCAAGCGCCUAAAAGUCGUGAGGAGCUCAUCGCCAUCUACGGUUACGAUAUCCGCAACGGAUGCGGCGCCGGAGAGCGUGCAUUCAGACAGAGGCGACCUCGGUCCUCUGUGUCGCCCAGCAGAGACAAACGGUGGCGGGAGGGGGGAGAGCGAGCUGUCCGCUCCUGGCAGAGCAGCCGAGGAGGAGGUCCUUCCCGAGGAGCUCCUACCUCGACCUCUUCACUCCCACUUUCAUCUGGCCAGCGUAGCAGCAAUGUGUCCCGCACCACACACCCUCAUCAGAGUCCAACACGGCGCCUGUCGCAUCCCCAGUGUGGGGGUAGUGAAUCAAAUGCACCUCAGAAUCACCCCAGAGAACGACCCUGCCCUAAACCCCCAUCAGAGCUUGCAGCAGAGAAGGGUACGCCCUGCAAGGGAGGCCGUGGCGGAGGAAGGGGCGCUGCCUCCGUAGUUGUGGGAGACGUCCCGGUCAGCAAAGGUGGUGUUGAAGACAACCCCACCUUAAGCACUGUAACAUUUUCAUCAUCGCAGUCCAGCGGGUACAUAACCACAUUGCCAAGUCGACAGUCUCUGGAACAACGAGAGGGUGAUGACAGUUCUGCAUUUGGAUCAUCUUCCGCCGACAAUUCCCAAACAUCAGCGGGCCCUCGAGAAGCAUCGCCUCCCACCGAACGUCCGGUAGAGCGAAAGUCGUAUUCCCUAGCCCGCAGGACUCGCUCUCGGCCGGCUGAGCUGGGCAGCAAACAGCCUUCCAUGGAGGAGGCGGCAGCAACCGGGGGUGGCGGGGUGAUAGGAAAGACCCAACUGGGGGCGGGAGGCAUGGCAGAACUGGACCAGGAUGUGGCUCGACUCAGUCUGGUGUCCGGCCACAACUGGAACCACACCCCGACGUCAUACGUUCGCUCUGAGAUGAGAGGCCUGACCAGCAGCAUGCAUGUCCAUGGGGGGCCUCAUCAGUUCUCCAGUUUGGAUGAGCUCGCUGUUAGUUCCAACCGCGCCAAACGCUAUUCCUCCCAGCGGCAAAGAGGCGUGGCUGAGCCGGCGGCCAUGCAUAUGGGCGUGAUGGAGGGACACUACUAUGAACCUAUGUCAUAUCAAGGACCAAUUUAUACUCAUGGCGAUGGCGCCACACCCAUCCCACCCCAAGGCAUGCUGGUCCAGCCAGAGAUGCACAUCCCCCACCCUGGUCUCCAUGCCCACCAAUCAGGAGGCCCUAUCACCAACCCCACCCUCUACGGAGGACCAGCAGUAUCUCUGUCGCCGGGGCAGCCACAGCAACUGCUGCCACCACCUUUCUACCCUCCACCGGGGGUCAUGACUUUCCCUUACCCUGCCAUGUACCCUAACCCUCAGGGUCAAUCUCAGGUGACCUACGGAGGCGUGACAUAUUAUGACACAGUGCAGCAGCAGGCUCAGCCUAAGCCUUCUCCCCCCCGCCGUACGUCCCAACCCGUUACCGUCAAGCCCCCCCCUCCAGAAGUGCCAUUUGCCUCAGAGUGACCCUGCUUGUCCUUCCUCCCCGACUCGGCAACACCGGGGCAGAGGACCACAGUCAGGAGACGGCGUGGAGACGAUGCCGAACCACAGUCAAACAUGGAGGAGCAAGUCACGUAACCCUCGGCAUCGCUGCUGGAAUCAGACUCUGUCUUGUCACCAUGUUGCAGUUUGUCAGCCAUGUUGGCAUUGACCAAGACCUUCAGUCACACGUGAAUGUUUGCAAAAUCAAACCGUUCCAAGACUUGUCGUGUUCCUGUGUUCAGGCAUCACCUGUGAAGUCACAUGACGCCAAAAGGCCAGAAACGCACUUGAUUUUUUUUCAGCUCCUCCCUCCCGUGAUAUUCAGAACAAAAAUAAAGAUGGACUCUAUAGUUAGAUUUUGACGUCUGCCAUGGAAUCCCAGUUGAAGACAUACAGCAUGAUGGGGAAACGUAGUUGCAUAAGAUUUAUUAACGAGAGAAUUAACCAUGUGCAUAGAAAGCUAAUAUGCAAUCUUCUACAGCGACCUGGAAAGAUUUCCUUUAGACAAUUGUCUUGAUUUUCUUUUCUAUUUACCAUUUCCAAAUGUCCUGGCUUUUUUUUUCUGUGAUGAUCCCAAUAAAAUACCCUUUUGACCUUUA